GACGGCGGUGUUUGGCACCUCGAUGUCGGCUCAUCACAUCCUGGGGCUGAAGUCGGUCCCAAGGGUAUGGCUGUUCGCCAUUUAAAGUGGUACGCGAGCUGGGUUUAGAACGUCGUGAGACAGUUCGGUCCCUAUCUGCCGUGGGCGUUGGAAGAUUGAAGGGGGCUGCUCCUAGUACGAGAGGACCGGAGUGGACGAACCUCUGGUGUUCGGGUUGUGUCGCCAGACGCAUUGCCCGGUAGCUAAGUUCGGAAUUGAUAAGCGCUGAAAGCAUCUAAGCGCGAAGCGAGCCCUGAGAUGAGUCUUCCCUGACAGUUUAACUGUCCUAAAGGGUUGUUCGAGACUAGAACGUUGAUAGGCAGGGUGUGUAAGCGUUGUGAGGCGUUGAGCUAACCUGUACUAAUUGCCCGUGAGGCUUAACCAU
rnacentral:rRNA from 1 species